GCUACGGCGUCCCCAGCUUGUCUAGAGUCACGUCAUUUAUUGCGCAAUAUAUUCUUGGUGUAACCGAAACAAAGGAACUCCUUUCGUGCUGUCCCGGCUGAGAUUUUGGUUCGACAUUUGGAAAGAGAGCAAUUCCUACAGAGACAAGUAUUCCGAGCUCGAUAUCUAGGCUAUAUAUGGACCGAUUUAAUCAAAAAAAGACCCUAAAUGAUGUUUAUGGGACAUCUAGGAGUGUCAAGAAAGAAGCUCGUCAAAGCUCAGAGAUUCGAUCCCGCAACCUUUUGGUAACUGGCUCAACUCUCUAACUCUCUAACUACCUGCCGCCCCACCGAGCCACUGCCUGUCCACCCGGCUAUCAUCCAGAAGGUGAGGUCAGUACAGGUGCAUCAAAGCUGGGACCGAUAUACUGAAAAACAGCUUCUAUCUCAAGGCCAUCAGACUGUUAAAUAGCCAUCACUAGCAUAUUAGAGGCUGCUGCCCUAUAUACAUAGACUUGAAAUCACUGGCCUCUUUAAUAACUGGAACACUAGUCACUUUAAUAAUGUUUACAUAUUUUGCAUUACUCAUCUCAUAUGUAUAUACUGUAUUCUGUCCUAUUCUACUGUAUCUUAGUCUAUGCCGCUGUGACAUUGCUCGUCCAAAUAUUUAUAUAUUCUUAAUUGCAUUCAUUUACUUUACUGUAUUGUUAGAUAUUACUGCACUGUUGGAGCUAGAAACACAAGCAUUUCGCUACACCCGCAACAACAUCUGCUAAACACGUGUAUGUGACAAAUACAAUUUGAUUUGAUUUGUUUUUUAACGUGAUUUGACGUCAUUUUAUCUGUGGCCAAUGACCUUGAGCCUUCUUAGAUGGGCACUUCUCAUGUAACUCUAUGGCAGCACACAAGGCAGCGGCGGAUUUAGGUAUGGGCGACACGGGCAACCGCCCUGGGCGGCAUCUUGGCGGGGGCGGUACGGGGCGCCCGCACCCAAAAAAUUGUAAUGGUGACAUUUGAGCGACCGGUUUUCUGUCGCUCAUUUGCACGUCACGUCAAUGAUAUCAUGUCACCGUGUGGGACUGUGUGUCAAUUAACCUUGUCGGAGUAGGUGCCCUGAUUCUAGUUUGUGAGCUAGUCAUGCUACUGCCUGGAAAGAUCUCCCACUCAGA